GGGGAGGGGAGAUGAGCAGGGGGUGCGGGAGGUGGCAGAGGGUGUUAAUUGGUGGCAGCAGCUGAGGAUUAACUUCAAGGUGAUAACGACCCAGGGAGGGGCCCAGCGUAGCAGAGGAGGCCGAGAAUUCCCAGGAAGGGCCUGGGGGGCAGGCAGCACUAAUCAGGUAUUACGGACUUAAUUCAGUAAUACCUAACACUAACCGGAAUACUUAACACUGACGAAGCACUCGCUCCUCACUGGGCAGCAGAGGUGUGGCUCCGAGCCCUCACGGCAGGUCGGGGCAGAGCAGGAAUUUGAACCCAGGGUGGCUCCUGCCCAGGGCGCGCGCUGUUCACUGCAGGUGUCCUGCUGCCAUAAGUGGGUGAGGGGGCUUUGGGAGGGGGCCAGGGAGUGUGGGAGUGUGUGUGACCACGUGAGUGUGUGAGUGUGAGAGACUAGGUGAGAGUGAGUGUGUGAGUGUGAGAGAGUAAGAGUGAGCCUGUGUGAGGGUGAGUGUGUGUGAGAUUGAGUGUGAGACUGUGAGUGCAUGAGCAUGAGUGUGAGAAUGUGACAGUGUGAGUGUCGACGUGAGAGUGUGAGAAUAUGAGUGUGAGUGUGAAUAUAAGAGUGUAUGAGAAUGAGUGUGCAUGUGUGUGAGUGUGAGUUGUGUGCAUGAGAGUAGGGUAUGAGUAUGAAUAUGAGGGAGUGAGUGUAUGAAUCUGUGAGAGUUUGACUGUGUGGGUGUGUGUGAGUGAAUGUGAGGGAGUGCGUGAGUGUGAGUGUGUGCGAGUUUGAGUGUGGGAGUGUGCAUGAGAGUUGAAUGUAAGGGAGUAUGAGUGUGAAUGAGUGUGUGAAUGUGAGUGUGAGAGUGAAUUGAGUGUGUGUGUGUGAUUGUGAAGGUGUGCAUUGGGAGUGUGAAUAUAAGGGAGUGUAAGUUUGAAGAAGUGUGUGCAAGUGUGUGUGGGAGACUGUGAGCGGAGGUGGGAGAGUUGUGCGAGCAUGUUUGUGUGUGGGUGAGGUGAUCGCCCCUAAUGAAGACAGAAAAGGGAGGCAGCAAAGCCCUUUGGACCCAGCCAAUGGCUGUCAUCAGACUACAGACAUACCACAUGUUGGGACGAUGUGGAGACCUGGGAAGCUGCAGCCGCUGGCGGAAGGUAAAGCGGGGCAGCCACUGUGGAAGACAGUCUGGUAGCUCCUCAGAAUGACAGACAGAGUUUCCAUGUGGCCCAGCAAUUCCACUCCUAGGUAUAUACCCAGGAGAAAUAAAAACAUGCAUACACACAAAUAUUCAUGGCACAAUUGCCAAAAAGCAGGAACCACCCAGCUGUCUAUCUGCUGACAAAUGGAUAAAGGAAAUGUGCUCCAUCCAUUCAAUGGAAUAUUACUCAGCCAUGAAAAGGAAGCACACACUGACACACACUGCAUCUUGGAUGAACCUCAAAAGCAUCAUGCAAAGGGAAAGAAGCCAGACAUGGAAGAUGACCUAUUACAGGAUUCCAUUUAUAUGACAUGUCCAGAAUAGGCAAAUCCACAAAGGAAGGAAGAUUAGUGACUGCCAGGAGUGGG
ensembl:lncRNA